rnacentral:lncRNA from 1 species
UGCCUUCUUACGUAAGAAUCAAUAAUCCAACAAUACUGUGCAAUACCGUGUGCUACUGUGCAACCACGCGUGCUAUUGUAUUUUAACCACCAGGUAUUCCAACAGUGUUAACGGUAACAACUACGCCGUUAUUUAUAAAAACUCAAACGUGUCAUUUUCAUCAUCUGACAGUUAUUCUAUUAUGGGGCCCAUAAAUGGUUGGGCCAUCGUACGAAUAUUCUCCGACAACAAGAAUAUUGCACGACCAAACGAAUAUUCCCCGACAACAAUGAAUAUUUUAUAACCACUUGCUUAUUUUAAAAAUUUUAUAUAUAUCACUCUUAACUUUAAACUUUUAUAAAUUUAACUAUUUACUAAUUAAAUAGAAAAAUUGAAUACUUUUAUUUCAUAAAAUUCAGGGUCUUACAAUCUCUCAUUCUUAUGAAAUUUUGUCCCCGAAAUUUACGUACCUGGUAUUUAGAAGAGUUGAUUAUACCUUGCUUUCAUUUCAGAUUCCAUCUUCCCUGUCAUCAUGAUUUCUCCAUUGCUCAUCUUGUGUAUUUCAGAUAUCAUUCUAGAAUACCGCUUCAAAACAAGGGUUAAUUGACAUAUCACAAUUUGUCAAUUUAUCAAGUAUAAAAUUUCAGCUUAGGUAAGUCACAUACUAGCGAAAUAUAUUACUCGUCUCUCCCCUUCUAGUUCUAGACUCAGAUCUCCGUCAGCAACCAUAUCCCUAAGCUCUGAUACCAACUAUGACGUCCCCAAGAUAGGUACAAUCCACCCAACCCAUUCUGAGUCACCAAAUACAUGGUGCAGAAAACAACUACAACUUCAUUAUUACAAUUGUCGUGCAAAAUACGACAACAAACAUACUGUGAGUUUUAAUACCAACUGUGACUCUUAUCCCUUUACUUGGAUAGCACCUCACAUUGAUACAUUACAUAAAGGUACAGUCAAUAACAUGUUUUAGAAAUUAAAAUCUUUAGAAAAUGCUCAAGAAAACCUUCGUACAUGGGAGGCCAUGCAUCUAAGUUAUAAUAAAUAUCAUAUGACUCGACAAUUAUCCUUGGUUGACCCAAUAGACCCCAAAGAAAAAUAAGAAGAUUGCUGUCAUGUUCUUUCCAAUGGUGAGUAUUCUCUUGACAUAUAAUUAUCUCCAUUGUCUCCAUUUGAGAAUUAUAUUUCAACCAAACUCCAAAAUUAUAAAGGUAGUGCUUGUAGAUAUAAUCAGCAAGUACAUGUGUACAACCCUGUCUUAUGAUAACACGAAGUCGUAAGUCAUUAGACAUCUUGUAUGAUAGUGGCAAAAAACCCUUCCAAAGUUGGGUUCACCUCACCCUAUUCGGAUCACCAAAAUCAACGGUUAAAAUGACGUAUAAAAUACGAUAGAUUUAUUUAAAAUUCUUGAUAAAAUUAUUUCCAUACUAUUUUAGGGAAAACCUCAACAGCUAUAGAUCAUCGUUCUAUUCCCUUGUUACCCCCGCUCGACCCAGCUACACUCUUAUUACCUGAAAGCAAUUGUGAAGCAAAAGGGUGAGCACAACUAGCCCAGUAAAGAAUAUCAUGACUAAAGAUAAUUAAAUUAUCAAUAGCCUUCGUCAAUAAUAAAUCAAGGAUUUAUAACAUAUGGUAGAUGAUAAAAAUUUUCAACCAUAGUUGCAGCGGAACGAGCAAUCCAUUAGAAGAUUCAAAUAGACCAUAAAGUCUAUUAUAUUCUCUUUGUUAAAAGUCCACCAACAAUGUUUUAACCCUGUAACAUCAGUCAACAGUUCAUGUCCACAAUCAUGUAAAUAACUCAGAUUAGGUUACCUAAAGCAAGACAAUGCUUGUUUUAAAGAUCAAGUGACAGAAGACAAAUUGAACUUAGCUUUGCUCAUCAAAUGAUGGCAGCCCCAAAGAGAAAUUUCUUUGUGAAAUUCUGAACAUGAAAUAGAAACACAAAAAUUGACUUUUUGCAUUACUUAAUGAAUAUAUAGUUGCUGAAGCAUCUGAUACAACCUCACUGCAACAUGUACUAGAGAAUAAAUAAUAAUAAAUAAAUAAAGGAGACCUGGGACAAAUUAUAGGGCAUGCUGUCAUCUUUCCAAUUGAUUGUCCAAUUGUCUUACUGAAGUCCUACAACUAUUAAUUUCACUUAUAUUUACAUUGGACAGUAUAGAAAAGAAUGCAAGAAAAUGAAAACAGAUUUUAGGCAACGAACUCUAAACCGCAACUUAUGUAAACCAGGAAAAUCUGGCAUAUUCUUAAGAGUUUAAUCAGCUUAUUAAUAUAGCAGGCAUCUAAAUGAAGUGACUCUAAAAAGCUGGGCCCUUCACAUGUUGUCACAAACAAAAUUGGAGUUUAAAACUAGAAAAUCAGCAUUCGUGAAUGCAAUCUACACGAGUUACCUGAAUCUAGAGAAAAAGCGGUUUAAAAGGUCACAAGUUUUUCUCCAACAGAACCAAAAAAUAAACAAUCUUACCCAGGAAGUCAGGUUUUUUUAAUCAUAGAAGUUAGAACAAAUAGUCAAAAGUUUUUAAAUUUUUUAUUUUGCCAAAAUACUGAAAGUCUAUUUCAGUAAAUGAGCAAAAUAAAGUAGAAAACAUAAUUUACCCAGUAAUGGCAAUAAAACUAUCAGGAAACAUAAAGUAGUAUUGGUUUCCCACAAAAUAAUAUACUUGUAUGAUUUUUUUUUUGUAUAUAUGACCGAAUGAAGAACUCUAGUUGUCAAGAUUAGCUCACAAAACAAAAAACAUCUAUGGCAUUAUUUUAUGAGUUAUUUUGUAAAUUACAGAGACCAUUUGAUUACCAUAUUCUAUAAAUCAGCAAGCAAUCAAAAAUGCAGCAUUUGAUAGUACAAAAAGAAUAAAUAAAUAUUAAACGAAUCUGUAAACUGACGAGGAACAAUCAAAAUUACAAAGGCCAAGCUUAAUUCCAUGAAAGAUAACAGAACCUCCAUGAAAUUUCCAAAUAAUCCAGCACAGAGAAAUUGAACCAUUUAACCAAAGCUUAAAUUUUAGUUCUCACAAAUACAUGGGCACACAUGGGCACAAAAACCACAUCACAAAUAUACUACCACAACUUACUUUAAACUGAUCCAUUAAAAAAUAAAUUCUAAUCUAUCACAAUAAUUUUCUCAAAUCAAAUUACUAUAAAUAUACGCAGUCACACACAAACACAGAUAACACACACCACAAACAAACACAUGAUUAACACCAAUAAAAAAAACAAAUCUUAAGAUAUAAGAACAUUAUAUUCCAUAAUUUUGCAAUCAAAUAACAAACAACCCAUUUCAUUAGCUAAGAUACAAAAAAUUAAUAACUAAUACCCAAAUCUUCUCAGCAGCCAAAUAGCGAAACCUUAGAGUGAUUGAUUUGUAAAUUAAAAAAAAAUCAUAUUAGGGUGUGGACCUGAUUUGGGUAGAAUUAUUUCGGUAGUUGUUAGCAGCUUUGAAGCGCAGGAUCUCAAUCCAUUAUUCGUGGCCAUGGUGGUUCGGUUUGUUAUCGUAGAGAAAAUGUGAGAAAUGAGAACAAAAAGAACCCUCUUUCUCUC